AGGACGAACGCUGGCGGCGUGCUUAACACAUGCAAGUCGAGCGGUAAGGCCUUUCGGGGUACACGAGCGGCGAACGGGUGAGUAACACGUGGGUGAUCUGCCCUGCACUUCGGGAUAAGCCUGGGAAACUGGGUCUAAUACCGGAUAUGACCUCCUAUCGCAUGGUGGGUGGUGGAAAGAUUUAUCGGUGCAGGAUGGGCCCGCGGCCUAUCAGCUUGUUGGUGGGGUAAUGGCCUACCAAGGCGACG
rnacentral:rRNA from 1 species